GGGUGCGAUCAUACCAGCACUAAUGCACCGGAUCCCACCAGAACUCCGAAGUUAAGCGUGCUUGGGCGAGAGUAGUAAAAGGAUGGGUGACCUCCUGGGAUGUCCUUGUAUUGCACCAC
rnacentral:rRNA from 1 species